rnacentral:rRNA from 1 species
UGGGGAAUAUUGCACAAUGGGCGCAAGCCUGAUGCAGCCAUGCCGCGUGUGUGAAGAAGGCCUUCGGGUUGUAAAGCACUUUCAGCGAGGAGGAAGGUGGUGAACUUAAUACGUUCAUCAAUUGACGUUACUCGCAGAAGAAGCACCGGCUAACUCCGUGCCAGCAGCCGCGGUAAUACGGAGGGUGCAUGCGUUAAUCGGAAUUACUGGGCGUAAAGCGCACGCAGGCGGUUUGUUAAGUCAGAUGUGAAAUCCCCGGGCUCAACCUGGGAACUGCAUUUGAAACUGGCAAGCUAGAGUCUCGUAGAGGGGGGUAGAAUUCCAGGUGUAGCGGUGAAAUGCGUAGAGAUCUGGAGGAAUACCGGUGGCGAAGGCGGCCCCCUGGACGAAGACUGACGCUCAGGUGCGAAAGCGUGGGGAGCAAACAGGAUUAGAUACCCCUGGUAGUCCACGCUGUAAAACGAUGUCGAUUUUGGAGGUUGUGCCCUUGAGGCGUGGCUUCCGGAGCUAACGCGUUAAAUCGACCGCCUGGGGAGUACGGCCGCAAGGUU